AUAGUUGCCCGGUCAAAUAGCCGU
rnacentral:siRNA from 1 species